UGUACACACCGCCCGUCACACCAUGGGAGUUGGUGGGGCCCAACGCCGGUGACCCAACCCGAAAGGGAGGAAGCCGUCUAAGGCAAAACCAAUAGCUGGGGUGAAGUCGUAACAAGGUAGCCGUACCGGGAGGUGCGGCUGGAUCACCUCCUUU
rnacentral:rRNA from 1 species